rnacentral:rRNA from 1 species
AGUAGUUUGAUCAUGGCUACAGAAUGAACGUUGGCGGCGUGGAUUAGGCAUGCGAGUCGUGCGAGAACCGUAGCAAUACGGGGACAGCGGCGAAAGGGAGAGGAACACGUGGAUACCUACCCUCAGGUUCAGGAUAGCUAUGGGAAACUAUAGGUAAUACUGAAUAAUAUCUCCGGAUCAAAGGUGUGAUUCCGCCGGAGGAGGGGUCCGCGUCCUAUUAGCUAGUUGGUGAGGUAAUGGCUCACCAAGGCGAAGAUGGGUACGGGAUGUGAGAGCAUGAUCCCGCUCAUUGGGACUGAGACACUGCCCAGACACCUACGGGUGGCUGCAGUCGAGAAUCUUCGGCAAUGGGGGAAACCCUGACCGAGCGACGCCGCGUGUGAGAUGAAGGCCUUCGGGUUGUAAAUCACUGUCGUAGAGGAGGAAGUGUAGGUGGGUUCUCCCACUUAUUUGACCUAUUCUAGGAGGAAGGACGGGCUAAGUUCGUG